AGGGAAUAUUGCGCAAUGGACGGAAGUCUGACGCAGCGACGCCGCGUGAGCGAUGAAGGUCUUCGGAUCGUAAAGCUCUGUCCUUGGGGAAGAAGGUCUUCGGACUUGACGGUACCCAAGAAGAAAGCCCCGGCUAACUACGUGCCAGCAGCCGCGGUAAUACGUAGGGGGCGAGCGUUGUCCGGAAUUACUGGGCGUAAAGGGUGCGUAGGCGGCCCUUUAAGUCGGAUGUGAAAGCCCGCGGCUUAACCGCGGAAUGGCAUUCGAAACUGGAGGGCAUGAGUGUCGGAGAGGGUAGUGGAAUUCCCAGUGUAGCGGUGAAAUGCGUAGAUAUUGGGAGGAACACCAGUGGCGAAGGCGACUACCUGGACGAUAACUGACGCUGAGGCACGAAAGCUAGGGGAGCAAAC
rnacentral:rRNA from 1 species